rnacentral:rRNA from 1 species
UGGGGAAUUUUGGACAAUGGGCGAAAGCCUGAUCCAGCCAUUCCGCGUGCAGGAUGAAGGCCCUCGGGUUGUAAACUGCUUUUGUACGGAACGAAAAGGUCUCUACUAAUACUAGGGGCUCAUGACGGUACCGUAAGAAUAAGCACCGGCUAACUACGUGCCAGCAGCCGCGGUAAUACGUAGGGUGCGAGCGUUAAUCGGAAUUACUGGGCGUAAAGCGUGCGCAGGCGGUUUUGUAAGUCAGAUGUGAAAUCCCCGAGCUCAACUUGGGAACUGCGUCCGAAACUACAAGACUAGAAUAUGUCAGAGGGGAGUGGAAUUUCAGGUGUAGCGGUGAAAUGCGUAGAUAUCUGAAGGAACACCAGGGCGAAGGCGACUCCCUGGACUAAAACUGACGCUGAGGUACGAAAGCGUGGGUAGCAAACAGG